CGUGUCGUGAGAUGUUGGGUUAAGUCCCGCAACGAGCGCAACCCUCGCCCUUAGUUGCCAGCAUUUAGUUGGGCACGUCUAAGGGGACUGCCGGUGAUAAGGCCGAGAGGAAGGCGGGGAGUGACGUCAAGUACCUCAUGGCCCUUACGGGGCCUGGGCUACACACGUGCUACAAUGGUGGUGACAGUGGGCAGCGAGCACGCGAGUGUGAGCUAAUCUCCAAAAGCCAUCUCAGUUCGGAUUGCACUCUGCAACUCGAGUGCAUGAAGUUGGAAUCGCUAGUAAUCGCGGAUCAGCAUGCCGCGGUGAAUACGUUCCCGGGCCUU
rnacentral:rRNA from 1 species